rnacentral:misc_RNA from 1 species
AACUGAUACUACCUGCGGGAACCUGCGGAAGGAUCAUUACCGAGUUAUACAACUCCCAAACCCACUGUGAACCUUACCUCAGUUGCCUCGGCGGGAACGCCCCGGCCGCCUGCCCCCGCGCCGGCGCCGGACCCAGGCGCCCGCCGCAGGGACCCCAAACUCUCUUGCAUUACGCCCAGCGGGCGGAAUUUCUUCUCUGAGUUGCACAAGCAAAAACAAAUGAAUCAAAACUUUCAGCAA